UACGUAGGGCGCAAGCGUUAUCCGGAAUUAUUGGGCGUAAAGAGCUCGUAGGCGGCUUGUCGCGUCGACUGUGAAAUCCCGCGGCUCAACUGCGGGUCUGCAGUCGAUACGGGCAGGCUAGAGUUCGGUAGGGGAGACUGGAAUUCCUGGUGUAGCGGUGAAAUGCGCAGAUAUCAGGAGGAACACCGAUGGCGAAGGCAGGUCUCUGGGCCGAUACUGACGCUGAGGAGCGAAAGCGUGGGGAGCGAACAGGG
rnacentral:rRNA from 1 species